rnacentral:siRNA from 1 species
UGGGUUAAUCCAUUUAACAACUC